rnacentral:lncRNA from 1 species
GCACUUGUUGUUUACGUCCCCAUGUCAUGAAACGAGACGAAAAAAUGGGCGAAACAAAACAAAUUGUUGCUAAUUAUACUUAUAUUCCUGUGAUUUCAAAUACCAAAUGGAUCUUCGUAUCUUGUAUGCAUAGCUUAUUAGCUACUGUCAGCCAUCCCAACAAGUUGACUUCUAGCACUCAGUCACUUUCCAUCUAUUAGAUCCCUAUGCUGUCAAAAGCCUAAAACCCAUGUUUGAAGCACACAUAUAGUGGAAUAUAAAUGUGCGGGUAUAAGGUAUUUUCCCAUUACUGCUACCACACCAACUAAACUAUGUCAAAUACCUUACUAAAUCAUCACUCAUAUGAUAAAGCAUCAGGAAAUUUACCCCACCUGAGGAGUAAUGGAGUUGGUUGCUGUAAUUCGAUUAUUACAAGUUUCCGUCAUGAACAUUUCAGUGUGCUUCUUAGAAAAGAGCACACAAGAUCCCCACGGACAUCCUUGAGUCAAUGCUGGAUUUUGUCCAUGACAGAAGAGGAACUUCCACCAACGUUCCGCUCCAUCCUUAUCUUCAAGACGUACGCUCAUCCAGCUUCACUGCUUCAGCGCUUCUUGUGCUGCUACACAACUUGUCUUGCUUCACUGGCGAGUUGGAUCACUUCAGUUGCUGUGACACACCUCGAUACCUGCAGUCACUCACCAAGGGAUUAUGGCCAGGUAUUGCAGAGGAGACGUUGAGAAGUUCGUCACCAAAAACGUCGCCAGUGUGUCAAAAAUGUCAGCUGCGGAACAUCCUUUGUUGUUGGUAAUAUGUUUUCGUUAGUUAACCCGUUGGCUGCCACGCCUUUGUUCCCCAUGUUAGCUCUGUAGCACGGGCCCGCGCUGUUCGGUCUCGUGGUUUAUUUGCCGCGGGGUCGGACAGUUGCACCAGCCCAGAUUCGCCGAAAGGCCCUGUUAGGCAAUGCACCAUAGGGACUUCCCCCUUGUCGAUACGGUGAUGGAUUCUAGAGGUUGUGCAUUCCAUCUUCUCCUGUCACCGUGUCAGCCCGGACUUGUCAGCAAUGGCAAGUCCCACCUUGGUCAUGGAUCCUUCUGACGUGACGCGUAGAGUAGUAGAGAGUACAACCUACGGGUUGUAUGGCGUGGCAGCCAACGGGUUAACUUAAGUGUAUGCAUGUAUGUUUUUAUGUAUGUAUAUUGUAUGAAAAGUGGAGGAAUUGUGGGCGGAGGUGGGAAAAUAAAUGCAAUUCCAACUAUUUAUUUCUGUUUUUAAUUUCACAUUUCAACUUUAAGAAUCAAUACUUUUAACCAACACUACAUAUCGUAAACAAAUAUAUAUAGUUUAUUUAGCAAGAGAAAAGGGCUGGUUGAUGUUUGGAAAAUCUUUUUAGAUAUCUUCAAAUAAAAGAACAAAAUUCAUCCCAAUCUGUGUUAAUUGUAUGACUACGUGAAAUCGCCGAUCAGUCAAACUGUGAACACGGCCGUGAUAAAACUGCAUCCAAGACAUUCAGUCAGGAGAAGAUUGUGGCAAUUACUAUUAGGAAGAAGUUGAUACGGAAAAUAGCAACUACUAGUCAGGAGCAACUAAUCUCGGGAGAAGUAAAGUCAAGCUAAUAAAAAACAAUAUCUAAUUGAGACCAUUCAUUACGAAAUCGCUUGACAUGGCUGAAACCGAGUCAAUUUUCUGGGAACAGGAACAAAAGAUAUGUACAAUACUCGAAAAUUCCGUCAAAUGACGCUGUCCUCCAACGCCACAGAACAAGGGUCAAGGAAUUUACAGUUAGGUUUGAAUCUUUCAGAAAUAAAAUUUAAGAAUCCAAAGUACCUUUUCCCCCCCAAAAAAACCCUUCGUUUAAUUUUCCUGUCAAAAAUGAAUCCUAGCACAAAAAACCCAUUUACGAAAAUUUUGAUGUCUCAACUUAGGAAAAGGAAUCACAACAUAAUCUUAGUGUUCACUUAACAGGUAAAUUACUACAUGAAAUAAUUUGGUGAUGAACACGAGUCCUGGUCAAUCUGGCAGAUCUCUUAACACCUCAUCGUCACUUAACACCUCACCAACUUCUGAAGUCAGGAAAUCUGAAUAAAAUAGAAAGAUUAACACACACAAUUUUAAGGUUCAUUAACUAUUUUCACUUCAAUGAAACCAGAACAAAACUAUUUUUUGAAAAUUUCAACAUGCAAAUUACUUUGAGCAAUGAAUCACAAGCUGGGCUGGACAAGAACAAAUAUCGUUACUGUUUGACAGCGAUGAAUGUUCAAUGAAAACGAAA